rnacentral:lncRNA from 1 species
UCACCUUUUUUUUUUUUUUUUUUUUUAAAGGACAAGAUUCAUGCUGCAAGUGCCCAAGAAGAGGCUCAUUUUCUUUCUGCAGCAGUUGUGCAGAAUUGAUCUCAACAUUCGUCUCCUCCCUGAGAAAGUCCUCUUUCCCAGGUUCCAGAAGGAGAGCUUUUGGGGUGAGUGAUCGGACAGCUGAGUGGCUUGCUCAAGUGAAGAAUGUGGUUCCUAGGGAGCUAAGAACGAACUCCAGGACCAACGCUUUACCCUCAACCCAGCUCUGUCGCUUAACCAGCUCUGUGACCUUGGAAGACUGUUUGGAUAUCUCGAAGUAACAACCCCCGGGUGCA